rnacentral:rRNA from 1 species
ACGUUAGCGGCGGACGGGUGAGUAACACGUGGGUAACCUACCUAUAAGACUGGGAUAACUUCGGGAAACCGGAGCUAAUACCGGAUAAUAUUUCGAACCGCAUGGUUCGAUAGUGAAAGAUGGUUUUGCUAUCACUUAUAGAUGGACCCGCGCCGUAUUAGCUAGUUGGUAAGGUAACGGCUUACCAAGGCGACGAUAUGUAGCCGACCUGAGAGGGUGAUCGGCCACACUGGAACUGAGACACGGUCCAGACUCCUACGGGAGGCAGCAGGC